GGGGAAUAUUGGACAAUGGGGGCAACCCUGAUCCAGCAAUGCCGCGUGAGUGAUGAAGGCCUUAGGGUUGUAAAGCUCUUUUAGUAGGGAAGAUAAUGACGGUACCUACAGAAUAAGUUCCGGCUAACUUCGUGCCAGCAGCCGCGGUAAUACGAAGGGAACUAGCGUUGUCCGGAUUUACUGGGCGUAAAGGGCGCGUAGGCGGUUACAUAAGUUAGAAGUGAAAGCCCCAGGCUUAACCUGGGAACUGCUUUUAAUACUGUGUAACUAGAGUUCGGCAGAGGAUAGUAGAAUUUCCAGUGUAGAGGUGAAAUUCGUAGAUAUUGGAAGGAAUACCAGUGGCGAAGGCGGCUAUCUGGACCGAAACUGACGCUAAUGCGCGAAAGCGUGGGGAGCAAAC
rnacentral:rRNA from 1 species